rnacentral:lncRNA from 1 species
UUAAAGGGUCCUGAUACCCUGGGAUUGGAACAGAUAUUUCACAGCUGGAGAUAAUCAUCCAUAUUCCAUCAUACCAUUUAGUUCAACGCUUGCUGAGUUCUCAGAACUUCUCAAAAAAUAAAGAUAUUGAGGCUCUGAGAAUCUGGAUAACUCAGUCAAAGAAACCCACCCAGACCAUGAUAUAGAUGGAGAAAAUGCCAUGUUGGAAACAAGACUUGACCAAGAACCAAGUGUCUGCAGUUCUGGUUUCAAUUCCACGUGUAUGGUUUGAGCAAGCCACUCAGUUUUUCUGGGUCUCAAUUAGUCACGUAUAAAUUAAGGGAACAGAAUGAACAAUUUAAAUUUAAGAAUGAACGUAUAAUUUAAGGCCCCUUCCAGCUCUAGAAUUCUAAUUCUAUAUGCUUAUUAAGUACUUUUUAUUCAAAAUUUUAAAAAAACAUUAAUUUACAAGCCCACAUAAAUAACUAUGAUUACUUAUUUAAAAACUUCGAAAAAUUCUUGGGAUAUACUGAGUUAAUACAAGUACUAUAAUAUUCUACUUAGCAAAAAUAUGGCAAUGCUAAAUUAAUGAACCUUUAGUUUAGAUCAAUAUCAAUGAAUUAAAACAAAACUAAAAUUACGGGCUUUUUAAAAAAUCUGUUUUUAAUAGAUUUUGCCCGUGUUGCUUUUUAAAAAUCUAUUUUUGAGCAUAUAAUGAGUGAAUUUUCCCCAGUACCUAGGUUAUGACAUGGACAUAAAUUAGGCAUAUAAAGAAAAUGAACUUUUAUAAGUCACCACAUUACUACUAAUGCACAGUAAUAAAUUACUAAAUGGUACCCAUAAGGUUUGAGAAAAAAAGUACAGUUUUCACAGUGACUUAUUCGAAUAAUGUUGUCUACAAAUCAGAUUUGUUCUUAUUCACUCCAAACUGUAUAUAAUUCAGUUGUCAGCAUGAAAUCUCUGCCCUUUAAACUCUAAGUAAAAUUGUCACCAAAGUCCCACCUCUAUUCCGAAGCCUGCGCAAGCUGAAAGGCUUUCUCAGGUUGCCAGUGAACUAAUGGAGGCCUCCUCUGCAUUCUUAGAGGUGGAGUCUCUGUUUUGCUUCUUAGCAAAACAAAUGUAAUUUCAACAGCCACUUCUUGCAUUUCCACAGAAGCAACAUCUGCAUUAUUAAGAACAGAACACCUUACUGAAGGUCAGGAUCAUGAGAAGGAGUCACCUAACAAUUUUAAGAUUCUUUCUAGACAUUCCUUUCCUCCAAGGGCCCUUCCACUCUCUGUGCUCACACAUAUCUCUCCUGGCAUCUCCCCCAUGUUGCACACUUCCCUUGUCUUUCUUAAUAUUCCAAUGCAACAAAAGCAAAAAAAAAAAAAAAAAAAAAAAAGCCUUUCCUUGCCUCAUAGAGAGCAACUCAAUCUUCUUUUCUAAAACUUUCUUCAAUGCUCAGAGUCUUGGGGUCUCACCUGUAUUUCUAAAGCCUGUUAAGAUAUUUUUCCUAAAUAAUCUCCUUGUAAGUCUGGAUUCUUUUUGUUGAAAGUUACUGGAACCAUGAAAACUACCUUAAGCUAUGAAGGGGAAAUUUUUGGCAUCUGUAACUGGGAAGUGUGGAGUGGACCCUAGAACAGGCACGUGACAUCAAGACACUCUCACUGACUCUGCUUCUCUCUGGGUGUUGACUCUGUUCUCUCAGACCUGUUCAUGUUGUGAGGGAUAUGGUGACUGGCACCUCAGGGUCAUAUCAUUAGAGCUCACAAUUCAAGUGAAAAAAGAGAUCCACAUAAUAUCCAUUAUUGCCAUUUUUCAGAAGCAGGAUGGAUCCUUACUCAAAGUUUGAAUCAGAUGUCAAAACUGAUGACACCACACAUGCACCAUGAAGGCAUUAAAAUGGGUUACUACUUAUAUAAUGAAGUUUUCUAGGAAAGCAGGAUAGACUUUCCAAGCUGGGUUUAGAAAAGAAAAGGCAACUGAUCUAAGGCUUGUAUUGUGGUUAGGAGGUGGGGGUCUGGGUGAGGAUUCCCAAGCGUGGGCAGGGGCUUAUGUGGCUUGAAUCAUCCACCAUCACCAAAGGAGAGAAUACUGGCUUUUUUAUUAUCAGCUUUCCCAGAAGCAGAAGGGAAGACAGAGGAGUGAGGCUUAAAAGUGGUUACAGUCAAAACUAAAACAUGCAGUCAAACUCUUUAUCACAACACCUCAACUUGAGUCACACAUCCAACUGUUGGAAUCACCAUUGCAUCCAGGAGAUCAUAGCCCUAUGACAGAUCUUAUGCUCACAUGAUCACAUCGUGACUAUUGGGCCAAGAUGCUGAAACCAGCAGUCCCACAAGAUCGAAUGUAAUGGGUUGUGGGAAAGGAAUGGGUCUCAAAGAAAAGAGAUAUGCUCUUGUUAGAAGAAGUUGACACAGUAUGCUGAGAAGAAAAAAAUACAACAAAAUAAAACAUUAACACAAUAUUUCAAUGAAAAUAUUAUGAAGCCACCUCAUAAGAUUUUUUAAAGUGUCCACUUAUUUGUUUGUAUAAUUGGUAACACAAGUAAUCUGCAGAAUUGCACAAUACAAAAAGCACAGGAGUCUGGAUUCAAAAUAUACUAGAUAAGAAUGUAGGCUGUUUCACCAGCUGUGGGGACUUGGGCAAAAAUAAAAGUAAAAGAAGAAGAUAAAAGGGGAAAAUGAAGGCUUUCCAAGAGUGCUUACUAAGUGCCAAUCAUCAUGCUAAGUGCUUCAGAUGAGUUAUCCAUUUAAUCUCCCAUUAGAACCUUAUGAUUUUGAGGCUGUUAUAACCUCCACUUUAUUCAUAUAAUGAUAGAAAACCAGCAAGAGAACUCUAAGUUUGUUAGACUUUAAAGGCUAAAUCUUAUAGACUGUUUCAAUGAGUAUUCAUCAUACUCUUAGUGAUCACUGGCAUGCCACUAAUUUGUUUUGCUUAGCAGCCUUAUAUUUUGUUCCAAAAUUCAUCAUCUGUGAUUCAGAAACUAAGAUGUUUCUUUAUUCAGCAUCAUCUAAUCUCAAGCUAUAAGAUGCUGUUGUCUGUCAUGGUAACUUUAUAUCUUAAUUUGGGGAAAUCAAUAAGAGCAAUAGGGCAGUAUUCCUAUCACUAACAGAAAUCAGGAAUGAAAAUGUACUUGUGUGAAACAAAUAACAGAAGGGCCUCUGAAAGACAUACACACAAACCAUAAAAUACCAGGGGAAGUUCUGAAAUCUGCCACCAUAAGUUAUUGCUAUCACAAGGUGUAAAAUCAGUAAUGACAACAGCAAUGAUUCAAGUUAAUUGAAUUCUGAACUCCCUUAUUCUUAUCUUCACACCCAAAUUGGUGCCCAGGCCUCUGUUUCUGACUAAAAUAAUCUAUAUAAAGCCUUUCACUCUCUCCUUCCAUAUUUUGCAUACUGUGUAAGAAAUAAAAUUAAAUUUCUCUUUCUGUAAGCAAUUCACAAAAUGGUUAUGUACUACAUCCUUUUCUCAUUUUUUCUGCAAAAGUAUCCUCAGUUUGAAAUGGUCUUUUUUUAUGUUAUGUGCCACACAUUGUUCUAAGCUCUGGAAUACAAGACAGACAGUUCAUUACUUUGCAGAGUUCAUAUUAUAGAAGAUAAAUGCAGA